UACGUAGGCAGCGAGCGUUGUUCGGAGUUACUGGGCGUAAAGGGUGUGUAGGCGGUCCUCCAAGUUUGGUGUGAAAUCUCCCGGCUCAACCGGGAGGGUGCGCCGAAAACUGGGGGGCUAGAGUGCGGGAGGGGAGAGUGGAAUUCCUGGUGUAGCGGUGAAAUGCGUAGAUAUCAGGAGGAGCACCGGUGGCGAAGGCGGGUCUCUGGGCCGAUACUGACGCUGAGGAGCGAAAGCGUGGGGAGCAAACAGG
rnacentral:rRNA from 1 species